rnacentral:rRNA from 2 species
GGUUGCGAUCAUACCAGCACUAAUGCACCGGAUCCCCUCAGAACUCCGCAGUUAAGCGUGCUUGGGCGAGAGUAGUACUAGGAUGGGUGACCCCCUGGGAAGUCCUCGUGUUGCAACCC